GACGAACGCUGGCGGCGUGCUUAACACAUGCAAGUCGAACGGAAAGGCCCUGCUUUUGUGGGGUGCUCGAGUGGCGAACGGGUGAGUAACACGUGAGUAACCUGCCCUUGACUUUGGGAUAACUUCAGGAAACUGGGGCUAAUACCGGAUAGGAGCUCCUGCUGCAUGGUGGGGGUUGGAAAGUUUCGGCGGUUGGGAAUGGACUCGCGGCUUAUCAGCUUGUUGGUGGGGUAGUGGCUUACCAAGGCUUUGACGGGUAGCCGGCCUGGGAGGGUGACCGGCACAAUGGGACUUGGGAACGGCCCAGGAUCCUACCGGGAGGAAGAGGUGGGAAAUAUGCAAAAAGGGGCGGAGGCCGGAUCAAGCACCGCGGGGGCGGGAAGGCCGGCUUCGGGGUUGAAACCCGUUUUGGCUUGUGCCGAAGCGUAGUGACGGGAAAUGGUUAAGAAGCACCGGCUAACUACGUG
rnacentral:rRNA from 1 species